CCGGACAUGACUGCUAUCGGAUUGGUACUAAGCCAUGCGAGUCGUUGUAGCAAUACAAGGCGGACGGCUCAGUAACACGUAGUCAACCUAACCUAUGGACGUGGAUAACCUCGGGAAACUGAGAAUAAACCGCGAUAGAUCAUAAUGCCUGGAAUGGCUUAUGGUUAAAAUAAUUUAUCGCCGUAGGAUGGGACUGCGGCCUAUCAGCUUGUUGGUGAGGUAAUGGCCCACCAAGGCUAUAACAGGUACGGGCUCUGAGAGGAGAAGCCCGGAGAUGGGUACUGAGACACGGACCCAGGCCCUAUGGGGCGCAGCAGGCGAGAAACCUUAGCAAUGUGCGAAAGCACGACUAGGUUAAUCCGAGUGAUUUCUGUUGAAGAAAUCUUUUGUCAGUCGUAAAACCACAGACGAAUAAGGGGUGGGCAAGUCUGGUGUCAGCCGCCGCGGUAAUACCAGCACCUCGAGUGGUCAGGAGGUUUAUUGGGCCUAAAGCAUCCGUAGCCGGCUAUGCAAGUCUCCGGUUAAAUCCAACUGCUCAACAGAUGGGCUGCCGGAGAUACUACACAGCUAGGGAGCGGGAGAGGUAGACGGUAUUCUGUGGGUAGGGGUAAAAUCCACUGAUCCAUAGAGGACCACCAGUGGCGAAGGCGGUCUACCAGAACGCGUUCGACGGUGAGGGAUGAAAGCUGGGGGAGCAAACCGGAUUAGAUACCCGGGUAGUCCCAGCUGUAAACGAUGCAAACUCGGUGAUGCAUUGACUUAUGGUCAAUGCAGUGCCGCAGGGAGCCGUUAAGUUUGCCGCCUGGGAAGUACGGACGCAAGUCUGAAACUUAAAGGAAUUGGCGGGGGAGCACCACAAGGGUGAAGCCUGCGGUUCAAUUGGAUUCAACGC
rnacentral:rRNA from 1 species